GCGGCGGUAUCGAAGCGGUCAUAACGGGGCUGAUUCGAAAUCAGUUUGGGGUAAUCCCACGUGGGUUCGAAUCCCACCCGCCGCGCCA
rnacentral:tRNA from 1 species